CAUGGAGGGUGAGAAUCCCGUCUGUGACCGGUCGUGCGUUCAUCUACGAUUCGCUUUCAAAGAGUCGGGUUGUUUGGGAAUGCAGCCCAAAAUGGGUGGUAAAUUUCAUCUAAAGCUAAAUAAUGGCGAGAGACCGAUAGCGAACAAGUACCGUGAGGGAAAGAUGAAAAGAACUUUGAAAAGAGAGUUAAAUAGUACGUGAAAUUGUUGAAAGGGAAACGCUUGAAGUCAGUCGUGCUGGCGCGAAAUCAACCCGCUCGUUGAGCGAUCACCUGCCGUGGCGAGCCUCAAAACCGCCACGACUCGUGAUCGCUUAAUGGUCUGGUGCACUUUUGUGUCGGCUGGUUAACGUCAAUUUCUCACGUCAUAAAAAGGCUGGAGGGAUGUGGCUCCUUCGGGAGUGUUAUAACCUUUGGCGGAAUGUGGUGUUUGGGAUUGAGGAUUGCAACGAAUACCUUUAGGGCUGUUCCACCUGGCCUCUCGUUGGCAUCCUGGCGGCGACAGCUUGCUGACGUCGUUAGGAUUCGCCUUCGAACAGGCUAGAGUGUGAGCAAAUUCGUUAAGGAUGUUGACGUAAUGG
rnacentral:rRNA from 2 species